rnacentral:rRNA from 1 species
UACGGAGGAGGCAAGCGUUAUCCGGAAUUAUUGGGCGUAAAGCGUCCGCAGGUGGCGAUUCAAGUCUGCGGUUAAAGACUGGGGCUUAACCCUGGAAAGGCCGUGGAAACUGAAACGCUAGAGUGCAGUAGGGGUAGAGGGAAUUCCCGGUGUAGCGGUGAAAUGCGUAGAGCUCGGGAAGAACAUCGGUGGCGAAAGCGCUCUGCUGGACUGCAACUGACGCUGAGGCACGAAAGCGUGGGGAGCAAACAGG